rnacentral:rRNA from 10 species
CACACGACUCUCGGCAACGGAUAUCUCGGCUCUCGCAUCGAUGAAGAACGUAGCGAAAUGCGAUACCUGGUGUGAAUUGCAGAAUCCCGCGAACCAUCGAGUCUUUGAACGCAAGUUGCGCCCGAGGCCACCUGGCUGAGGGCACGCCUGCCUGGGCGUCACGC